AGAGUUUGAUCCUGGCUCAGGAUGAACGCUAGCGACAGGCUUAACACAUGCAAGUCGAGGGGUAACAGGGUGUAGCAAUACACCGCUGACGACCGGCGCACGGGUGAGUAACGCGUAUGCAACCUGCCUUUGACAGAGGGAUAGCCCAUGGAAACGUGGAUUAAUACCUCAUAGUCUCUUUUUCCUUCCUGGGGAAUAGAGUAAAACGAGAGUGGUCAAAGAUGGGCAUGCGUCCUAUUAGGCAGUUGGCGGGGUAACGGCCCACCAAACCGAUGAUAGGUAGGGGUUCUGAGAGGAAGGUCCCCCACACUGGUACUGAGACACGGACCAGACUCCUACGGGAGGCAGCAGUGAGGAAUAUUGGUCAAUGGUCGAGAGACUGAACCAGCCAAGUCGCGUGAGGGAUGACUGCCCUAUGGGUUGUAAACCUCUUUUCUACUGGGAGAAUAAGCCCUAUGUAUAGGGUGAUGACAGUACAGUAGGAAUAAGCAUCGGCUAACUCCGUGCCAGCAGCCGCGGUAAUACGGAGGAUGCGAGCGUUAUCCGGAUUUAUUGGGUUUAAAGGGUGCGUAGGCGGCUUUAUAAGUUAGUGGUAAAAUUUCGGAGCUUCACUCCGGUCCGCCAUUAAAACUGUAGAGCUAGAGAAUGGACGAGGUAGGCGGAAUAAGUUAAGUAGCGGUGAAAUGCAUAGAUAUAACUUAGAACUCCGAUAGCGAAGGCAGCUUACCAGACCAUAACUGACGCUGAUGCACGAGAGCGUGGGUAGCGAACAGGAUUAGAUACCCUGGUAGUCCACGCCGUAAACGAUGCUCACCGGCCCUUAGCGAUAAGACAGUUAGGGGUUAAUUGAAAGAAUUAAGUGAGCCACCUGGGGAGUACGUCGGCAACGAUGAAACUCAAAGGAAUUGACGGGGGCCCGCACAAGCGGAGGAACAUGUG
rnacentral:rRNA from 1 species